UACGAAGGGGGCUAGCGUUGCUCGGAAUCACUGGGCGUAAAGCGCACGUAGGCGGAUUGCUAAGUCAGGGGUGAAAUCCUGGAGCUCAACUCCAGAACUGCCUUUGAUACUGGUGAUCUUGAAUCCGGGAGAGGGAUGUGGAAUUCCAGGUGUAGCGGUGAAAUGCGUAGAUAUCUGGAGGAACACCGGUGGCGAAGGCGACAUCCUGGACCGGUAUUGACGCUGAGGCGCGAAAGCCAGGGGAGCAAACGGG
rnacentral:rRNA from 1 species